CCAGCAGCCGCGGUAAUACGUAGGGGGCCAGCGUUGUUCGGAAUUACUGGGUGUAAAGGGUUCGUAGGCGGUGUGGUAAGUCUGGUGUGAAAUCUCCCGGCUCAACUGGGAGGGUGCGCCGGAAACUGCCGAACUCGAGUGCGGGAGAGGAGAGUGGAAUUCCUGGUGUAGCGGUGAAAUGCGUAGAUAUCAGGAGGAACACCGGCGGUGUAGACGGCUCUCUGGACCGUAACUGACGCUGAAACACGAAAGCGUGGGUAGCAAACAGGAUUAGAUACCCUGGUA
rnacentral:rRNA from 1 species